GUUGAACGCUGGCGGAAUGCUUUACACAUGCAAGUCGAACGGUAGAGGGGGCAACCCCUCGAGAGUGGCGAACGGGUGAGUAAUAUAUCGGAACGUGCCCAGUCGUGGGGGAUAACGUAGCGAAAGUUACGCUAAUACCGCAUACGAUCUAAGGAUGAAAGCGGGGGAUCGCAAGACCUCGCGCGAUAGGAGCGGCCGAUAUCAGAUUAGGUAGUUGGUGGGGUAAAGGCUCACCAAGCCAACGAUCUGUAGCUGGUCUGAGAGGACGACCAGCCACACUGGAACUGAGACACGGUCCAGACUCCUACGGGAGGCAGCAGUGGGGAAUUUUGGACAAUGGACGCAAGUCUGAUCCAGCCAUUCCGCGUGCAGGAUGAAGGCCCUCGGGUUGUAAACUGCUUUUGUACGGAACGAAAAGGUCUCUCUUAAUACGGGGGGCUCAUGACGGUACCGUAAGAAUAAGCACCGGCUAACUACGUGCCAGCCGCCGCCGCAG
rnacentral:rRNA from 1 species